rnacentral:rRNA from 1 species
UAACAAGGUCUCCGUUGGUGAACCAGCGGAGGGAUCAUUACUGAGUUUACGCUCUAUAACCCUUUGUGAACAUACCUAUAACUGUUGCUUCGGCGGGUAGGGUCUCCGUGACCCUCCCGGCCUCCCGCCCCCGGGCGGGUCGGCGCCCGCCGGAGGAUAACCAAACUCUGAUUUAACGACGUUUCUUCUGAGUGGUACAAGCAAAUAAUCAAAACUUUUAACAACGGAUCUCUUGGUUCUGGCAUCGAUGAAGAACGCAGCGAAAUGCGAUAAGUAAUGUGAAUUGCAGAAUUCAGUGAAUCAUCGAAUCUUUGAACGCACAUUGCGCCCGCCAGCAUUCUGGCGGGCAUGCCUGUUCGAGCGUCAUUUCAACCCUCAAGCUCUGCUUGGUGUUGGGGCCCUACAGCUGAUGUAGGCCCUCAAAGGUAGUGGCGGACCCUCCCGGAGCCUCCUUUGCGUAGUAACUUUACGUCUCGCACUGGGAUCCGGAGGGACUCUUGCCGUAAAACCCCCAAUUUUCCAAAGGUUGACCUCGGAUCAGGUAGGAAUACCCGCUGAACUUAAGCAUAU